rnacentral:lncRNA from 1 species
GUUUUCUAACAUCCAAACCGAAAUAUAGAAGAAAAGAGCCAAACCCACAACACCCACACAACACCUUAAGCUCUCUUCAACCCAAAACUCACAUAGAACUCCAUUUUCAUCAACCAACCAACCAAAAUGNAAGGGAAAACGUGGAUAACAGCAGCAAAUGAGUAGGAAAACGAAAAUAUAACUUCAUUCAAACCCAAGAACCUCCAUGGAAAUACAAAGACAAGCUUAAAAACUCAAGCUUCAAACAUCAAAAACAAGCAAAUGGAAGAAGUAAUGAACGGAUUUUCACCGCCAAUGAGUUAGGACAGCCAAGAGUGAGUCAAGGGAAGAAGGAAAUCUGCAUGACAUUCAUUGAAAAUGGUCCAAAACCGUGGCACCAAG